rnacentral:rRNA from 1 species
UUGCAGGCUGCAACCCGCCUGCAUGAAGUCGGAAUUGCUAGUAAUCGCGGAUCAGCAUGCCGCGGUGAAUACGUUCCCGGGCCUUGUACACACCGCCCGUCACACCAUGGGAGCCGGUAAUACCCGAAGUCAGUAGUCCAACCACGUGAGGACGCUGCCGAAGGUAGGAUUGGCGACUGGGGGUGAAGUCGUAACAAGGUACC